rnacentral:rRNA from 1 species
GCAAAACGCGAAGAACCUUACCAGGUCUUGACAUCCCGCUGCCCGCUCUAGAGAUAGAGUUUUCCCUUCGGGACAGCGGUGACAGGUGGUGCAUGGUUGUCGUCAGCUCGUGUCGUGAGAUGUUGGGUUAAAGUCCCGCAACGAGCGCAACCCCUUGAUCUUAGUUGCCAGCAUUCAGUUGGGCACUCUAAGGUGACUGCCGGUGAUAAACCGGAGAAGGUGGGGAUGACGUCAAAUCAUCAUGCCCCUUAUGACCUGGGCUACACACGUGCUACAAUGGACGGUACAGAGGGGUCGCAAACCCCGCGGGGUGGGAGCAAAUACCCUACUAAAACCGUUAACUUCAGUUCGGAUUGUAGGCUGCAACUCGCCUACAUGAAG